rnacentral:rRNA from 1 species
GCGCUAUGCUUAACACAUGCAAGUCGAACGGUCUCUUCGGAGAUAGUGGCGGACGGGUGAGUAACGCGUGAGAACAUGCCUUUAGAUUGGGGACAACAGUUGGAAACGACUGCUAAUACCGAAUGUGCCUUAGGGUGAAAGAUUUAUUGUCUAGAGAUUGGCUCGCGUCAGAUUAGCUAGUUGGAGUGGUAACGGCACACCAAGGCGACGAUCUGUACUUGGUCUGAGAGGAUGACCAGGCACACUGGAACUGAGACACGGUCCAGACUCCUACGGGAGGCAGCAGUGGGGAAUUUUCCGCAAUGGGCGAAAGCCUGACGGAGCAAUACCGCGUGAGGGAGGAAGGUUUUUGGAUUGUAAAACU